AAAAAACGAUAACUCCUUUUAUGAAUCCCGGUGUCCUAUCUACUUUUUCUUUUUCUCAUUCUCAUUCUUUUCUUUUCCUGCUUCUUUCUUCUUCUCCUGUUCGAUUUCGAGUGAAAUUCCGAGUUAAUGUGAGUGAAUCAACUAGUGAAGUUGCAUAGAUGAAAGUGGAGUUAUUCUCUGUGAAUUAUGAAGGAGAUUUUGUUGUUGCGAAUCAUGAAAAAAUAGAAAAAUGGGAAGAACUGCUGAUACUGUGAAUUGAUAUUUUGUUUGCUGCCCCGAUAAAAGAUGAAGAUGAUAAGUGCUUGUCUUUGAUUCAAGAGGGUUAGGAGAGACUGAGAAGAUCGAAAUAUUGGUGCUGAGAGAUGGGUUUCACUGGAAUUUGGUUUUACAGUAAAAACUGGUGCUCAAGUUGAAGACAAAAUUAGAGAUGAGGAUAAGAUGGAUUUUCAUCUGGAGGUUUGAUGUUCUGUAGGAGAGGAGGAAAGAUGGGUUGUAUUGGUGCUGGUAAAUAUGCAGAUGCAAUGGCUGGUUGUGUUGGUGGAACUGUUGAAGGUGGUUGUGCUACUGCAGUGGUGAAAUUGAGUUGUAAUGAUGUCAAUGGAUAUGUGUUGCAGAAAAAUAAACCAAGUCAAUAUUUAGAAAUGUCAGCAUGUAACCGGGUCAACGUUGGUCUUGAGACCAAACGCAAAGGCUGGACAAAUGUUAGACCAAAUUCAGGUUUUGGUCAAAAACUGAGUACCAAAAACCAAAUCACCUAAAAUUAUUUUAAGAGUUCAUCUUUAUUCUUGUUUAGUGUUAUUUUCGAGACCCAAGAUCGGGAUGUCUCCUAAUUCGAUUGUCGAAAAACUCUUGGUUAUACA